UACGGAGGAUCCGAGCGUUAUCCGGAUUUAUUGGGUUUAAAGGGUGCGCAGGCGGGGGAUUAAGUCGGCGGUGAAAUUUUGCAGCUUAACUGUAAAAGUGCCGUUGAUACUGUGAGGCUAGGAUUUGGUUGCUGUGGGUGGAAUGUGUGGUGUAGCGGUGAAAUGCUUAGAGAUCACACAGAAUAUCGAUUGCGAAGGCAGCUCACAAAGCCAAGAUUGACGCUGAGGCACGAAAGUGUGGGGAUCAAACAGGAUUAGA
rnacentral:rRNA from 1 species